rnacentral:lncRNA from 1 species
CAUCUUGAAGUAACUGACAAUAGGAUGACCACCAUUUGAAGCACACUGACAUAUCAUCUACCAUUUGGACCCAAUAGACAGCUGCAAGAACAUCAUUGGAUCCAUGUUUGUAGCGACAUUCAAUCGGUGCUUGGAGUUCAACAUUCAUAUUCUUUUUGAUAGCAUGAGCUCAUUGCCAGAAUGUUUUGAUAGCCCUUAUUCCAC